UGGAGUACGUGGUUGGUCCCUGCUGGGGGACAACACGGCAGGGCCUGGCCCAGCUCAGGGCGGAGGGCUCUAUCACAGGUUCAGGAGGUCAGAGUCAGCUAGUCAGGGACGGCUACUAUGGAAGGGGGGCAUUUGGAUGGGCCGAACCUUCUAGAAGCUUCGUUCUGGAGCCACUAGCAAGAGGGGCUUUCACCCUGGCACCACCACAUAUCAGACUUGGGAGAGGACUGAGCCUUCUGGAGGAUGGCGCCCCGCCCCGUCACAUGUCGCAGCUUGAGUUUCCCAGCUGGCGUGGGUGGCCCUGCCGUGGGAGCUCUCCUGACCUGCACGGCUCAGAGCCAAGUCUUCCCAGAUGGUUUCAGGCCUCAACUUACCCUGAGGCCUCGGCUGGGAGCCCCGUCCUGGGCCUCUGUCCCUGGCUACCGGGAUCCGGUUGGCCUGGGCCUGGUGGAGAUCCUGGUGGCUUGGAGCGUCUCUCUGGAUCCCACAGCCCCACCCACUCAGAACGGCCCCAGACAGGCACCCAGAAGAGCCCGGAAGAGAGCAGAAGGAGCAGCCAGCUCCAAUGUCUUCUCCAUGUUCGACCAAUCCCAGAUCCAGGAGUUUAAAGAGGCCUUCACCAUCAUGGACCAGAACCGGGAUGGCUUCAUCGACAAGGAGGACCUGAGGGACACCUUUGCCGCCCUGGGCCGCAUCAAUGUGAAGAACGAGGAGCUGGAUGCCAUGGUGAAGGAGGCCCCUGGGCCCAUCAACUUCACUGUCUUCCUGACCAUGUUUGGGGAGAAGCUGAAGGGCACGGACCCAGAGGAGACCAUUCUCCACGCCUUCAAGGUGUUCGACACUGAGGGGAAAGGUUUUGUCAAGGCUGAUUUGUAAGUUCCCCCUGCUCUCUGUUUCGGUUUUUCUUUCCCCAAAGUCUCAGGUGAUAAUGAGCCCGGGUGGGGUCAGGGUGGGUGGCAGCCCAGCCUCCUCUCCCGCCCAGAACUCAGCGGGCUCGAGCAGCAUCGGGCCAGGAGCCAGGAGGCUGCUGCCACGCCCAGCUCAGCCAUCACUUGACGUCCCUUCCCCUCUCUGGGCCUCAGUAUCCCCAUCUCUGUGUGGAAGCGGACAGGGAGAGUGGGGUCACCAGGGCUGGGCUUCCCAGGGGCGAGAGUGGGGGUGGGGGCAGAGGUGGGCCUUGAAGGACGACUAAGGAUUGCCUGGGCUGGGGCAGAGAACAUUCUAGAUGCAGGAACUUAGUGAGUGAAGGGCCAGGGCUUGGCAUGUGUGGGGUUGGGGAGCAGGGUUGGGCUGUGGCUGGAGGGCGUGGACGGACAUGAGUGGGGGACACUGAGCACAAAGGGCAGACAGGGCCUGUGUGGGGUGGCUCUAGACUCCAGGUCUGCCCUGGGGACAUGGAGAACCCAAGAAAGAGUUAGGCAGGGGCAACAUGGAGGCCAGCCUGGAGGAGGAGACGAGAAGUUUGCAGCCUCCACAAGGGCCGUGUCCAUAGGGAUGGAGGGGAGUGGUCAGAUAAGUGGAGCCCCAGGGGCCAGCACCCAUGGGAUCCAGGGUUCUGGGGAGAAAGUUGGGCCAGAUGUUUCUGGAGUCUGAGUGGAUGCCCGGAUGGAGGCACCAGCUCAGCCGGGGAUGCACAGAGAGUGAGGUGGCUGCAGCCAGCUGUCCGGCAGGCCACUGGGCUGGCGUUAUUGGGGUGGGGCCCCUGAUGCCCGCCAUGCUUGAGAAUCUCACGCCAGUGGGAGCUCAAGGCAGAGAGCCACAGGUGGCAGGCAGGGGCAGGCAGGGCAGUGGCAGCCUCCCCAGGCGCCCGGACUCUGGGCUGACCUCUGAGCUGUCUCCAGGCAGUCCCCUCAGAGCCUCUAAGGUCUCGCUGGGCCUGUCGGUGGCCCCGGGCAGGCAGGAUUUCCUCGCCAGCACAGGCUUCCUGACCAGUCGUUCUGAUGCCUCAGGCCUCGGCUUCGGGGCUGGCCUUGCUGACUCUUAGAACCAUCAUGCACUGGAGGUGGGUUAUGAGGGGCAGGCGCGGUGGGGGGACACACGGAGGGUCUGUCUUGUCUCUCAGACGUUCGUUCUCACCAUCUCCUGCCCCCAAAGUUGUGAGUCACACUCUCCCCAGGGGUAGGGAGGGAGUCUCAGGGUUUCUCCCGGCUGCAGCCCUCUCCUUCACCCCUCCCUCUGGGGCCAUGGCUCCCACUCCCAUCUUGGGGACCCGGGGCGGGAGGCAAGGGGGGCACACCCUGGAGUGGCCUGGACCAGCCCCUCUCCUGCCACCCACCUUCUCUCCCACUAGCACAAGGCCAGGGCUGGGAGGAACCCUGUGGGGACCCAAUUUGGGAAGUGAAGGCACUGCCCCCGGGAUACGGGACCUGAGAGACGUGGCUGCCAGCCAGGCAGGCCACAGAGGAGGCUCUGGUUGAAACGGAGUCUUGUGAAAAGUCUCCAGCUUGGAGAGUCGGAAACUGUGACUGUGCUGCAGUAACAUAAAUAAUGGAAAAUGAGCAUCCAUCCUUAGCGGGGCCGCCACCGCCGGCGCCACGGGACACUCUGGGUACACAGGGCCCGGCUCAGCCCUCGGAUCCCAUCGCCGCCCACUGCAAUCCCUUGGGAACCCUGCAGGGCCAGCCGAGCUCCUGGGGGCAUCAGUCCCUCCCACGCAGCCUCGAAUGCAGCAUCCUCUCUGCCUCCGGCAGCUCCUCCAGGACCAGGCAGCUCUGGCUCCUGAGGGCAGCUGCUCUUCUGGACAACCCAGGGGACAGGCCGCCCCCCGCCACUGCAGAUCAUUACCCUUCCCCAGCCUCAGUUUCCCUCUCUGUAAAAGAGGGUACUAGUACUCACUUCCCAGGGCCGUGGGGAGCAAGUGAGAGCAGGCCCAGGAGGACACCGACCUGAGUGCACCUUCCCACCCCUCGGCUGAGUGUGAGCAUCUUGCUGACCGUAAAACACGCACAGACGUCAGAGAAAAUCACAGGCUAAGAAAGCGGUGCUUCCAGAACUGAAGCAACGACCUCCCCUCGGGGACCGGGAGGCUGAUCAUUAGUGCAUGAUGGGAAAUCAGAGUGGCCCCAAGGUCGUGUUGGAGUCCUGAGGUCAUUUCAUUUGGUCCGCACCUGAUGCUGGGAGAAGAGUCCACGUCACAAAGGAGGAAACUGAGGCUGAGAGCAGAAGUGUCCGCCUGAGGCCACAUGGCCAUCUGGGGGCCGGAGGGCCAGGCUCAGCAUCAAAGAGAAGCUCAUGACACAGGCAGACCGGUUCAGCGAGGAGGAGGUCAAGCAGAUGUUUGCGGCUUUCCCACCAGAUG